ACUACCUGUAUCCUCCAGCCACUUGUUCUGAGUCCUCUCCUUGUUUUCAUCCUGCCUGGUUGCUGGGGCUCCUUGCAUUUGUUUAUGUGGCUCUAGGACCAGAUUCCUCAGGUGGUAACAGACCAGUAAUCUCCACCCCAUAACCUGCUACUAUAUCCAUUAGCAAGUGGUAAUCCCCUGUUCAGGCAACAGGUUCAGACAUCAGGAGGUGGAUUUUCUCUCCUGUUCUUCCCUAUGCAAAGGCCAGUGCUCUCCCAGCUUCACAGAACCCAAAAUGCCAGCCUGCAAGGAGGAAAACCUCAGGCAAAUCCCAAUGGAGAGGAGCCUUCUGCAAAGUAUCUGACCACUAAUACCCUAGCUGCCACGGCAAUCAAAAACAAAGAAAGUCUGAGAAACUGGCACAGCCAAAGGAAGCUUAAGGAGACAUGACAACUAAGUGUAAUGUGGUGUCCAGAUGGGAUCCUGGAAGAGAAAAAGGACAUUUGGUAAAAAUCAAAGGACUAAGAAUAAAGCAUGGCCUGUAGAUAAUAGCAGUGUAUCAAUAUUGGCUUGUUAAUUGGGACAGAUGUCUCAUACUAAUGUUAAGAUGUCAGCAAAUAAGGAAACUGGGUAUGGGUACUCUCUGUGCUGCACGCACAAUAAUUCUGUAACUCUAAAGCUGUUCUAAAACACGAAGUUUAUUUAAUAAAAAUAUUGAGGAGU